rnacentral:pre_miRNA from 1 species
AGGCAAGAUGUUGGCAUAGCUGAGUCCCAUUCAAUAUUUGUAUCUCAGCCAUGCUACAUAGGGCCAUG